rnacentral:rRNA from 2 species
AGGAAUGUAUAGCAAUAGCUAGUUGCAUCAUUGUAAAUAUGAUGCAAGAUUGACUAUGUUGAAUAAAAUUCUAGGUAGAGUUAUGAUAAUGACAUUUUCUGCCUAUGUGUCUUGACCAAAUUACGUGCCAGCAGUCGCGGUAAUACGUAGAAGACUAGUGUUAUUCAUGUUUAAUCGGUUUAAAGGGUACCUAGACGGCAGAUCAAGCUUUUCCACCGGAGAGAAAAUUAAAAGGACUAAUAUGCUAGAGUUACUUACGAGGGGGUUUUAAAGUACUGCUGGUGUAGAGAUGAAAUUCUGUCAUACCUCUUUUCGAAAGAAAAAUGAUGGCACAGGUAUAGGCGAAGGCAUCCCCUUAUGGGAUAACUGACGUUGAGGGACGAAGGCUUUAUAUAAUGAACAGGAUUAGGUACCCUAGUAGUAGAAGCAGUAAAUGAUGAAUGUCAUAGAUUAGAUUAGUUUAUUCUAUAAAUGAAAGUGUAAGCAUUCCACCUCAUGAGUAAUUUGGCAACAUUGGAAUUGAAAUCAUUAGACCGUUUCUGAAACCAGUAGUGAAGUAUGUUGUUUAAUUUGAUGAUCCGCAAAAAACCUUACCACAAUUUGAAUAUUUAUAUUAGAUUUUUUUUUUAUUAAUUUUCUCUAAAAGAGGUAAUAAGUUAAUAAAGAGGCAAUAAGAUAUAUUUACAAGCGUUGCACGGCUGUCUUCAGUUAAUGUCGCGAGAUUUUGGUUAGAUCCAUUAAAUUAACGUAAACCCUUACUUUAUUUUU